rnacentral:piRNA from 1 species
UGAGAAUAUGCAUGGGUAUCACUGUGCCCC